ACAAAACCCGGAAGGACCCCGCCGAAGGUUUUCUCCGGUUCGUGAGAGGGACGGAGUCCCGCUCUGUCACGCAGGCUGCCAGGCUGGCGUACAGUGGCGCAAUCUCAGCUCACUGCAACCUCCACCUCCUGGGUUCAAGCGAUUUUCUUGCCUCUGCCUCCUGAGUAGCUGGGAUUACUGGCACACACCACCAAUGCACAGUUCCUUGUUCAAAAUGCCAAGAACCUGGAUGACUCAUAGUCAAGACCCUCCACCAGUAACAUAUAUUGGCGAGCCAGCCAGGAGACCACUACAGGAAACACUCCAUUUAUUCAACCUGACUUCCCACUUGGCUGCAUCCUCAACCAUUGAAAUGAAUUUGACCCUGAUAAUCUAAGGAGGAAACAUUUGAUAUUCUUUUGCAAUAAUACUUGGCCCCGGUAUUGUUUGGAAUCUGGAGUUUGCUGUUGAAUGGGAAAGCGGGAUGAUGUUGCAUGUAUCCAGGCCUUGGUGCUGCUGUCCUAAGAAGGGUCAGGCCUGGUCAGCAUAUGGUGCUCUCCUUUGGUGCUAUUUGGCUCGUGUCUUCAGAGUCUGAGGAGGUUUGGCCUUUAAAAAUCAAACUGCCACCGAAACUGCUUUAAAAAUUUUUGGUUCACGGCCUUCACUGGAUUACCUACUGGAGCAAACAAAGUGUAACCAUGUAAAACCUGUGAGCUUGUAUUGAUAUCUCAUGGCUAGAGUUCCAAGGUAAAAGCUAUUUGAUCUUCAUUUGUGUGUGUGUAUACAUGUCUAGAUGUGUUUAUUUGUAUGU
rnacentral:antisense_RNA from 1 species